CACGUAGGGCGCAAGCGUUGUCCGGAAUUAUUGGGCGUAAAGAGCUCGUAGGCGGCGCGGUAAGUCGGGUGUGAAAUCUCGGAGCUUAACUCCGAAACUGCAUUCGAUACUGCCGUGCUUGAGGACUGGAGAGGAGACUGGAAUUUACGGUGUAGCGGUGAAAUGCGCAGAUAUCGGGAAGAACACCCGUGGCGAAGGCGGUUCUCUGGGACGGUACUGACGCUGAGACGCGAAAGCGUGGGGAGCGAACAGG
rnacentral:rRNA from 1 species